UCUUUGCAAAUUACCCAGUGAAUAUAUUGUGCUGCUUUAUCAUGCGUGUUGAGAUAAUCUGUAGGCUCAAGAAGACUGCACAUGGAGACAACAUGAUUAAGAUCGGAAG